rnacentral:rRNA from 1 species
UACGUAGGUGGCAAGCGUUGUCCGGAUUUACUGGGCGUAAAGAGCGCGCAGGCGGUCGAUCAAGUCGCGUGUGAAAGCCCCCGGCUCAACUGGGGAGGGUCACGCGAUACUGAUCGACUCGAAGGCAGGAGAGGGUAGUGGAAUUCCCGGUGUAGUGGUGAAAUGCGUAGAUAUUCGGAAGAACACCAGUGGCGAAGGCGGACUCACUGGACUGGUAUUGACGCUGAGGUGCGAAAGCGUGGGGAGCAACAGG